UAUUCUCAACUCCACCAGCUUUUGUGGCUGGCUUUUGGAGCUUGGAUGUGGAGGUUUUGCUGGCCUUUGUGGUCAGCUCCUCUGAAAUAUAUUAGCGGAACCGUUUGCGAUCCGUCACAGGUGUGAUAAUUAUCUACGCCAGUGGGUUGCUCUCUGUCUGUUCAGCUUAUAAUCGUCCUGUAACAUGGACAAACUAUAAUGAAC
rnacentral:misc_RNA from 1 species